CUUUAAAACACUCAGGGACCUCAUUUGGCCCCAUUCCUGACAGGUCAUCUCUCUCCUGUUUUGUGAAGUUGCCAUGAAACUUGUCAAGAAAUUCACAAAACGUGCCAAACAGGUCCUCUUUCAUUUUUAUUUCGAGAAGCUCAUCUGUCUCCAUAUCUUUGAUGCGUUGGACUUCGUACUCCUCUCUCAAUUGUCUCAUGAUCUCCACAGGCUGGCCCUGGUAUGCUGGGGCAAGGUUAUCCCCACAGAGGAUCAUCUGGGCCAUGCCCGGGUUUCCCUUCCGACCAGUUCUUCCAAACACCUGUUUCUCCACUCUGCGACUGCCAGGGUAAUGUGUCAGGAGGACGAAGAGGCCACCACGUAUGUUGACAUCCUGAUCAACCUUGAUAUCAGUUCCACGACCUCCUAGAUUUGUGGCUAUUAUUACAUGUCCCCCUCUGAAUUUGGUUCUCUCAAUGUUGUGUUUCUCACUGAUUGUGUAUAAUGUGAUGGGGGGAUGUGGAUUCUCGCUCUCUAUUUUAUUCAGAAGCUCGUUUGCAGUCUUGACAUCUUCACAUAUGACCAAGACAACCUGACCACUUUCUGCCACCCUCAUUGCUGUCUUACAGAGGAUCUCCAUCCACUGGGCUUGCCCAUUGACCUGAAUUGCUGGAAGCUCAACAACCUUCUUAUGGCGAUGAGCUGGUAUUAUGUAGCUGUCUGUUUCGUAAUGCCUUGCAAGGAAAUCUUUGUCGGCAUCACCC
ensembl:lncRNA